rnacentral:rRNA from 1 species
UACGGAGGGGGCUAGCGUUAAUCGGAAUUACUGGGCGUAAAGCGUGCGCAGGCGGUUAUAUAAGACAGUUGUGAAAUCCCCGGGCUCAACCUGGGAAUUGCAUCUGUGACUGUAUAGCUAGAGUACGGUAGAGGGGGAUGGAAUUCCGCGUGUAGCAGUGAAAUGCGUAGAUAUGCGGAGGAACACCGAUGGCGAAGGCAAUCCCCUGGACCUGUACUGACGCUCAUGCACGAAAGCGUGGGGAGCAAACAGG